GACGAACGCUGGCGGCGUGCUUAACACAUGCAAGUCGAACGGAACUUAUCGGAUCAAGACUUCGGUCAAGUGAAUUUAAGUUUAGUGGCGGACGGGUGAGUAACGCGUGAGCAAUCUGCCUUUCAGAGGGGGACACCAGUUGGAAACGACUGUUAAUACCGCAUAACAUAUCGAGAUCGCAUGAUAUUGAUAUCAAAGAUUUAUCGCUGAAAGAUGAGCUCGCGUCUGAUUAGAUAGUUGGUGAGGUAACGGCUCACCAAGUCGAUGAUCAGUAGCCGAACUGAGAGGUUGAUCGGCCACAUUGGGACUGAGACACGGCCCAGACUCCUACGGGAGCAGCAGUGGGGGAUAUUGCGCAAUGGGGGCAACCCUGACGCAGCAACGCCGCGUGAAGGAAGAAGGUUUUCGGAUCGUAAACUUCUUUAAGUGGGGAAGAUAGUGACGGUACCCACAGAAUAAGCCACGGCUAACUACGUGCCAGCAGCC
rnacentral:rRNA from 1 species